UGGUGGAGUGAUUUGUCUGGUUAAUUCCGUUAACGAACGAGACCUCGACCUGCUAAAUAGUUCGGCGAAUUCUUUUGAAUUCGUGCGUUGACUUCUUAGAGGGACUAUCGGUGGUUCAGCCGAUGGAAGUUCGAGGCAAUAACA
rnacentral:rRNA from 1 species